AGUGGACGCUGGCGGUAGGCCUAACACAUGCAAGUCGAACGGCAGCACAGUAAGAGCUUGCUCUUACGGGUGGCGAGUGGCGGACGGGUGAGGAAUACAUCGGAAUCUACUUUUUCGUGGGGGAUAACGUAGGGAAACUUACGCUAAUACCGCAUACGACCUACGGGUGAAAGCAGGGGAUCUUCGGACCUUGCGCGAUUGAAUGAGCCGAUGUCGGAUUAGCUAGUUGGCGGGGUAAAGGCCCACCAAGGCGACGAUCCGUAGCUGGUCUGAGAGGAUGAUCAGCCACACAUGAACUGAGACACGGUCCAGGCUCCUACGGGAGGCAGGAGUGGGGAAUAUUGGACAAUGGGCGCAAGCCUGAUCCAGCCAUACCGCGUUGGUGAAGAAGGCCUUUGGGUUGGAAAGCCCUUUGUUGGGAAAGAAAAGCAGCGGGUUAAUACCCCGCUGUUCUGACGGUACCCAAAGAAUAAGCACCGGCUAACUUCGUG
rnacentral:rRNA from 1 species